GUCGCAUUCUCAUUUGGAUGGUGAGUUUCUUUCUUUGUUUCUUUUCACACACGCACACACACAUAUAUGUAUGUAUAUAUUGAUUGGCGACGCUUUCAUAGAGUUAGAAAUGUUCUAAUUUGUGUCUUAGCAACUGAGAUGACACAUUGUUCAGCAGGACAGAGGCAGGUUUUCAGCAUUCAGAACUGAAAUAUGCAUUUAUCUGUAGCUGAUAAUUUAACACUCUAUUUAGAAAUU
rnacentral:misc_RNA from 1 species